rnacentral:lncRNA from 1 species
AUGUUCUCAUGCUGUUUUCGAACCUCUGGGGGCCCCAGGCUGAGGACAGCGCGCCCUAUUAGCAGUGCCCCUCGUGUGGGGUGUCCUGUCAGGGCUCUCCGGCGCCUCUGGCCAUUUGGCAGAAAGGGUCGAAAGAGUACCACAGAGGAUGUUGGAAGGAGGCUCGCGGACACCAGGUCCCACCUCCCUACAGUGGUACAGUUGUGCCCCGCCAGCCAGCAGGGCCAGCAUGGACGCAGGGACGGAGUAUCAACAGAACCAUCUCCAGGGGCAGGUACCCAGGACUGCCUGGGAAGGCCCCUGACCUCGCCCAGGCCACAGUUCCUGUACCUCCUACAUUUCACAGAUCCAGAACCUGUCCCUGUUACAGUUGAUGCCAGUGCUCCUGACCGAGAGACUGAUCCAUAUUCUGAUGGAGACCUUUGCCUUGACCCCUCUCCUCACCCUGCUGUUGUCCCUGCAACAGCUCCUGCCACUGAUGCUGCCCCUCUACUCGUUCCUGCUCUUGACCCUGACCCUGAUCCUGAAAGUGACCAGGACUCUGCUCCUGACCCUAUCCCUCCUUCUGAUCUGGACCCUGGCGUUGCUUCUGCUCCUGACCCUGCUCCUGCUCCUGUCCUUAUCCCUUCCCUUGCUCCUGAUCCUGCCCCUUCCCCUGCUCCUGACUCUGACCCUGACCAUGCUCCUGUUUAUGACACUGACCCUGACCCUGCUACUGCCCCUGCCCCUUACGAUGACCCUUUUCCUUCCCCACCUCUGCCACUGCUCCUGCCCCUGCCCCUGCCCCUGCCCCUCCUCCUGCUCAGCUCCCAGAGGGCUCCCAGGAGCCCAUAGCUCUUUGAAGAUAAUUGCUUGUACAAUUACCCUUCAUUCCAUCACCUGAUCCCAAUCUCCCACCCGCAUAGGUCAUCCCCUCACCUUAUAUUCCUUCUAGUAUCUAUUCACUGUGUUUGUAUCUUUACACAUUCUGUAUGGAAUAUACUAUUUCUUUUAAAUAAAUUGACUUCUUUUCAAUUGAACA